CGGGUAACGGGGUGUUAGGGCACGACACCGGAGAGGGAGCCUGAGAAACGGCUACCACAUCCAAGGAUGGCAGCAGGCGCGCAAAUUACCCAAUCCCGACACGGGGAGGUAGUGACAAUAAAUAACAAUACGGGGUUCUUUCGGAUUUCGUAAUUGGAAUGAGUACAAUUUAAAUCUCUUAACGAGGAACAAUUGGAGGGCAAGUCUGGUGCCAGCAGCCGCGGUAAUUCCAGCUCCAAUAGCGUAUAUUAAAGUUGCUGCAGUUAAAAAGCUCGUAGUUGAAUUUCGGGACUAAUAUGUCGGUCGUGCCUCGGUACGUACUGGUAUUUUUGGUUUCUCCCUUCUGACGAACCUUGAUGUCAUUAAUUUGGUGUCUUGGGAAAUCAGGACUGUUACUUUGAAAAAAUUAGAGUGUUUAAAGCAGGCUCACGCUUGAAUACAUUAGCAUGGAAUAAUGAAAUAGGACGUUUGAUUCUAUUUUGUUGGUUUCUAGGAUCGACGUAAUGAUUAAUAGGGAUAGUUGGGGGCAUUAGUAUUCAAUUGUCAGAGGUGAAAUUCUUGGAUUUAUUGAAGACUAACUACUGCGAAAGCAUUUGCCAAGGAUGUUUUCAUUAAUCAAGAACGAAAGUUAGGGGAUCGAAGACGAUCAGAUACCGUCGUAGUCUUAACCAUAAACUAUGCCGACUAGGGAUCGGAUGAUGUUAAUUUUUUAAUGACUCAUUCGGCGCCUUACGG
rnacentral:rRNA from 1 species